GGCUCCCUGCCAUUCGUGUAUAGGGAGUCGGACCUGCCCAGUGAAAUAUUUUAACGGCCGCGGUACUCUGACCGUGCAAAGGUAGCAUAAUCACUUGCCUUAUAAUUGAAGGCUGGUAUGAAUGGUUUGACGAAAGCACAACUGUCUCUCUCUUGUUUUAUAGAAAUUAACAUUUAGGUGAAGAGGCCUAGUUAAGAUUGAAGGACGAGAAGACCCUGUCGAGCUUUAGGAAAAAAAGGAGAUCUCUAUAUUUAUAAAUACAUGGCCUUUCUUAUCCUUUAGUUGGGGCGACUGGGGAACAAUAGAAGCUUCCCUUUUUUAUUAAAUUUGUGUAUUAGGAUCCAGUAAAGAUUACUGAGUAAAAAAAUUAGUUACCGCAGGGAUAACAGCAUUAUCCUUCUUGAGAGACCAUAUCGAAAGAAGGGGUUGUGACCUCGAUGUUGGACUAGGAUAUCCUGACGGUGCAGAAGCCUUCGAGGGUUGGUCUGUUCGACCAUUAAAAUCCUACG
rnacentral:rRNA from 1 species